rnacentral:rRNA from 1 species
CAAUAGCGUAUACUAACAUUGUUGCAGUUAAAAAGCUCGUAGUUGGAUUUCUGGCUGUAUGCUUAUCGCCCCGUUAUUUAGCCAUUGUGCUUUAUAAUGCGCGUGCAGAUUCGCGGCAGCCAUCCUUCGGAUACCCUUUUGGGUGUUCCGAUCGAUUACUUUGAAGAAAUUAGAGUGUUCAAAGCAGGCAAUCGCUGUUGAAUACAUUAGCAUGGAAUAAUAAGAUAGGACUUGUGUUCUAUUUUGUUGGUUUCUAGAACCGCAAGUAAUGAUUGAUAGGGACAGUUGGGGGUGCUCGUAUUCCGUGGCCAGUGGUGAAAUACGAUGAUUCACGGAAGACGAACUAAUGCGAAANCANNNACCAAGGAUGUCUUCUUNGA